rnacentral:sRNA from 1 species
AAAAAGAGAAGAAAAACAAAAUAAAAA